CCUUCAUUGGUUGCAUUUCUCUUUAUGCUGAAUCACGCCCUUCUGAAUCAGAUCGGGGAUUUCCACUGCCAGCCAUGGACCCAGCUGCAAUACAAGGGAGACCCUGUGAGAUGACUACCACCCUCUCAAUGCCUCUUGUUCCAUUAGAAGCUCCUUCCCAUACAGAUUCUAUAGGAACAUGCUCAAGGCUCGCUGAGCUCCCCCAGCCCCCCAAUCGUCCAGCUUCUAAAGAAUCUGGGCGUUAAAUUUUAUAACCGGAAGCGGCUUCCGCACGGAGCCUAUUCUCAGGGACACCAGACUCCCCGCAACCCUUCCGCGACGCGAUCGGCCGCAGAGGCACAACUAACCCGGAUGAGGGACUGGUAUUCCUCCUUGAGUCGCUGCACCCACAACUCACGAUCUCGAGGUCCGGCGUUAGUCUUCAGCACAGGGAUCUCAGACACCACACGCCGGGUGGCCUCGUCCGCCAUCUUGGACGAGGGCGAAAGAGAAACGCGGAAGUGGUAUCGCCCGUAUAGUCUACACGCAGGGGGCCGCCAUCUUUACUGUGGGAAGACAGGGGGCUGGGCUGCCUUCGGACUUCUUUGAGCGAGAGCCUUAAUUUUCUUGUAACGAAGGCAAAUUUGUCCCCUGGUCACUUGCUUGUGGGUGCCGGGGGGGAAAAACAGAAUGGAGCGGGUUGCUUCUUAGUAUGGUACCUAACAUCUUAAAAAAAAAAACAAAACACGCAGACUGCUCAAA